CCUAAUUUGGGUCAUGACAAGCUUGGUACUAUAGCAUGGUUUAGAUUCAUUAGGUAUCCACAAAGUCAUGUCAAGUAGUGUCUUUUUAUGGAUGUGUAGUGCGUCGUACUUAUAAGGAGGAGUCUACAAAAUAUUUAGGAAUGUUUUCAUUUUUUGUGUUCUAUUUUGGGCUAUCGAGUCUAGUGUCAUGAAUUCUCUGUAACUUUUGGUUUCCUCGUAUUUCUGUUCAUGCCUUCCCAAAG
rnacentral:lncRNA from 1 species